UACGUAGGCAGCAAGCGUUGUUCGGAGUUACUGGGCGUAAAGGGUGCGUAGGCGGCUUUUUAAGUUUGGUGUGAAAUCUCCCGGCUCAACUGGGAGGGUGCGCCGAAUACUGAGAGGCUAGAGUGUGGGAGAGGAAAGUGGAAUUCCUGGUGUAGCGGUGAAAUGCGUAGAUAUCAGGAGGAACACCGAUGGUGUAAACGGCUUUCUGGACCAUAACUGACGCUGAGGCACGAAAGCGUGGGUAGCAAACAGG
rnacentral:rRNA from 1 species